rnacentral:misc_RNA from 1 species
AAGUCGUAACAAGGUUUCCGUAGGUGAACCUGCGGAAGGAUCAUUAACACGUAUCCAAACGUUAAAACCCCCCCCCCGUGAACCUUCAUCCUGCUCUUGUAACCCGCGUAGUUCGCAAUCUCUGAUAAAUCAUAGCCCGGAAAGUUGUAGUGAUUCAGAGACCUCUGGCUACGUGCUAACAUUGGAACAGUAUUACAUUGAGCUUCACAUUAAACUGUGGGGUUAUUAGGGGGCAUGGGGACCCUUUGGCAAAGCUCCUGCCCGAGUGUACGGUCUACAGGAAUCGUAGUGGAUAUCUUGGUUCUC